UUGUUGUUGUUGAGAGGCUAAAGAAUGGUGUUUAUUGCAGGAGAGAUCUGUUUACAAAAAUCGAAAUUAGCUUCACCUUGGGGAUAGAAGUGAAGUGCUGCAGUUGUUUUCACUAGUCCUUCUCC